ACGUGUCGUUGGCCUCCUCUCCUCCACGUCGCUCUUCUUCUUCGUGUGCCCGUCCCUCCCGUAAAGAAGAGAACAAAAGGAGUGCUUGGUUACCUUAUUUUCGUCGUCGUGGACCGAGCCAACACGAGCACAGCGUAUCCGGCUCCGCUACCGCGAUCUUUUGGCCAGCCCAGCAGCAGAGCGCUGGCUGGUAUUUUUCCCGGGGUUAUUACCGUCGAAAAUCGGGGUGCGAUUAGAGGGCAAGGAACGGAGUGUAAAGCCGGUCCGGUGGCGCAGGGUGGGGCACGCGGGGGCGUAGCGGCGAAGGAGAGGAGGGGAAGGGAAGGCUCUUGCGUGCAGUUAGGGCGGUAGCGGUACCGGCGCGACCGGGCGCGGAGCGAGGAGGCUAGGCGGCAAGCUGCCGAGGCCCGGAAGAGGCGCCGGCGGCGGCUCCCGCGGCGCGGGGCGGCGCUGCGCUCCCGCCGGCUACGGCGGUGCCACCGCCGGCGCGACCGACAGCCCAGCCCCGACCCCUAGACCGACGAGGGGGGCAGCGGCGUCGGCGAGCGCCUGAGCCCGGUCCCCCUGAAGCGGCACCGCCUGCGCCCGAAACCCCUGCACCCGCGGCGCCUCCUCGCGCUCCUCCUCUUCGCGUCCAAGGAGAAGGCGCUGAGUAUAGCGUCUUCCCACAAGAAGUUGAUACUCUUCGCGUAAGCCUGCGCGUCGGGAGGACUCUUCUAGAAACUCAUGAAACGCAGGUAGGCUUUGGGCCUCCCGCUUCAGAUGUACAAUGGACGGCUGAACUACUCCCGACAACAAGGGCAAAAGGGAGGUAGGCUUAGAUUAUAACAUUCCCUUCCUUCUGAGUCUCCCCUCGCGUUGGGACCGCUCGAUGUCACGCGAGGAAGACUCAAAAAGUACGACAAGCUGUGUUUGCCGCUACCCGAGUAUAGGAAACGGCUCAUAUAGAAAAAACACUGUAACGAAUCGUAAGGACUCAGCUCGAAGUUAUAUCGAAAGUUCUACAAACUGGAACUGGUGUUACCCCUCUAUCUAUUUCUUCUCAAAUUCUUUCAUUACCGAAACUACUCCAGGAUAUUAUCCGUUCCUCGACGGGUGUCCCUACCCAAUGCAUAACCUGAAUUCCAACCAGUCGGUCACCUUCUACCACCUAACCAACUCAUGAAAAAACCGUUCCUACCGUCACUGGUAGAUGUGAUACUUUUCAAGAGACUAAAAAACUUCGUUAAUGUACUGCUCUAACAAGCGAACCUCAAGUCAGUGAUACUACAUUUUAGUAGGUUCUGUUAUAGACGCUUCCUGAAACGUAAUAGGUACCAACGAAGACGACUGUACUUAGUGUAUUUGUUCGAUGAACUGUCUCAACUGCUAAAACUACUUAGAGGACUACAGUUUCUAGACGCGUAAUGGAAACUCCUCAAGUUCCGAAAACGACUAGACGCCGCUUCUAACCUUGGUAAACGUUACCGAUAGAAGUCGAUACCUUUUCAUUUGCCAAACAACUGUUUCGUCCUAGACUUUGCACGACGUUGAGUACAAACACCCCACCUGAACUGACUAUUCCACCACCUACAGUAAAAGGUACACAAACUACGUUUGACACUACCCUUGGAUUCGAGUCUCCUCAAGAACUCCCGUGAUGUUUCUGCCCUUUCGUUAUAAGCCGUCGGGUGGUGAGGUCCAAAUUACCCCCAUAAGAGGACGACCGACUUGACAUGCUUCACAAGAAAAGUUGUCUACGACGAAGUCAUCUUAUAUAGAACUAUGAUUGUUCUAAUCGGAAGACAGCGGGACCCGGUGAGAGAUAAACUACAUGCAUCCGGUGCGAGUUGGAUAUACUUCAAUCAAUGAAGACAGCGUAUUGUAAGGUGAACGUAUGUAUCGACCACAGAGACUACCAAAACCAGUACCGUCCUCGACCUCUUGCUCAUGUUGUUGGCGAUCUACAGUCGUCUGUGAUAAAACAACAUGUAUAACAGGACGACUAGUUUCAACAGGUUAAUACAUCAUCGACAUUUAUUGGGUUAAGACAAGACCGGGUUCCCGAGUCAACUGUCUAGAGAGGGUGACUACAUUACUUGGACACUGAAACUUGGAGCAAAUGACAGAGGGUUGAGGGACACAGGAACACAAGAGUACUGCCGUUCCCGAAUGAUGGUCUGUUUGUAUACGUUCUUAUCAGCUGAU
rnacentral:rRNA from 1 species